UGGGGAAUUUUGGACAAUGGGCGAAAGCCUGAUCCAGCAAUGCCGCGUGUGUGAAGAAGGCCUUCGGGUUGUAAAGCACUUUUGUCCGGAAAGAAAUCCUUGGCUCUAAUACAGUCGGGGGAUGACGGUACCGGAAGAAUAAGCACCGGCUAACUACGUGCCAGCAGCCGCGGUAAUACGUAGGGUGCAAGCGUUAAUCGGAAUUACUGGGCGUAAAGCGUGCGCAGGCGGUUUGCUAAGACCGAUGUGAAAUCCCCGGGCUCAACCUGGGAACUGCAUUGGUGACUGGCAGGCUAGAGUAUGGCAGAGGGGGGUAGAAUUCCACGUGUAGCAGUGAAAUGCGUAGAGAUGUGGAGGAAUACCGAUGGCGAAGGCAGCCCCCUGGGCCAAUACUGACGCUCAUGCACGAAAGCGUGGGGAGCAAACAGGAUUAGAUACCCUGGUAGUCCACGCCCUAAACGAUGUCAACUAGUUGUUGGGGAUUCAUUUCCUUAGUAACGUAGCUAACGCGUGAAGUUGACCGCCUGGGGGAGUACGGUCGCAAGAUUAAAACUCAAAUGAAUUGACGGGG
rnacentral:rRNA from 1 species